rnacentral:tRNA from 1 species
GGACCCGUGGCUCAGUUGGUAGAGCGCUUCAUUCACAUUGAAGAGGUCACAGGUUCGAGUCCUGUCGGGUCCACAA